rnacentral:rRNA from 1 species
AACGAACGCUGGCGGCAUGCCUAACACAUGCAAGUCGAACGAGACCUUCGUGUCUAGUGGCGCACGGGUGCGUAACGCGGGGUAACCUGCCCGUAGGUUCGGAAUAACUCCCCGAAAGGGGUGCGAAUACCGGGUAAUGUCUUGGGACCAAAGAUUUAUCGCCUGUGGAGGGGCCCGCGUUGGGUCAGCUAGUUGGUAGGGUAAAAGCAAACCAAGGCGACGAUCCGUAGCUGGUCUGAGAGGAUGCUCAGCCACACUGGGACUGAGACACGGCCCAGACUCCUACGGGAGGCAGCAGUGGGGAAUAUUGGACAAUGGGCGAAAGGCAGAACCACCAAUGCCGGGUGAGUGAUGAAGGCCUUAGGGUUGUAAAGCUCUUUUACCCGGGAUGAUAAUGACAGUACCGGGAGAAUAAGCACCGGCUAACUCCGUG